GACGAACGCUGGCGGCGUGCCUAAUACAUGCAAGUAGAACGCUGAAGGAGGAGCUUGCUUCUCUGGAUGAGUUGCGAACGGGUGAGUAACGCGUAGGUAACCUGCCUGGUAGCGGGGGAUAACUAUUGGAAACGAUAGCUAAUACCGCAUAAUAGUAGAUGUUGCAUGACAUUUACUUAAAAGGUGCAAUUGCAUCACUACCAGAUGGACCUGCGUUGUAUUAGCUAGUUGGUGGGGUAACGGCUCACCAAGGCGACGAUACAUAGCCGACCUGAGAGGGUGAUCGGCCACACUGGGACUGGGACACGGCCCAGACUCCUACGGGAGGCAGCAGUAGGGAAUCUUCGGCAAUGGACGAAAGUCUGACCGAGCAACGCCGCGUGAGUGAAGAAGGUUUUCGGAUCGUAAAGCUCUGUUGUAAGAGAAGAACGAGUGUGAGAGUGGAAAGUUCACACUGUGACGGUAUCUUACCAGAAAGGGACGGCUAACUACGUG
rnacentral:rRNA from 1 species